rnacentral:rRNA from 1 species
GACGAACGCUGGCGGCGUGCUUAACACAUGCAAGUCGAACGGAAAGGCCCUGCUGUUGUGGGGUGCUCGAGUGGCGAACGGGUGAGUAACACGUGAGUAACCUGCCCUUUACUUUGGGAUAACUUCAGGAAACUGGGGCUAAUACCGGAUAGGAGCUCCUGCUGCAUGGUGGGGGUUGGAAAGUUUCGGCGGUUGGGGAUGGACUCGCGGCUUAUCAGCUUGUUGGUGGGGUAGUGGCUUACCAAGGCUUUGACGGGUAGCCGGCCUGAGAGGGGGACCGGCCACAUGGGGACUGAGAGACGGCGCAGACUCCAACGGGAGGCAGCAGUGGGGAAUAUGGCACAAUGGGCGGAAGCCUGAUGCAGCAACGCCGCGUGCGGGAUGACGGCUUUCGGGUUGUAAACCGCUUUCGCCUGUGACGAAGCGUGAGUGACGGUAAUGGGUAAAGAAGCAACGGCUAACUACGUG